rnacentral:rRNA from 2 species
CAGUCGACGGUAGCACAGAGAGCUUGCUCUCGGGUGACGAGUGGCGGACGGGUGAGUAAUGUCUGGGAAACUGCCUGAUGGAGGGGGAUAACUACUGGAAACGGUAGCUAAUACCGCAUAACGUCGCAAGACCAAAGAGGGGGACCUUCGGGCCUCUUGCCAUCAGAUGUGCCCAGAUGGGAUUAGCUAGUAGGUGGGGUAACGGCUCACCUAGGCGACGAUCCCUAGCUGGUCUGAGAGGAUGACCAGCCACACUGGAACUGAGACACGGUCCAGACUCCUACGGGAGGCAGCAGUGGGGAAUAUUGCACAAUGGGCGCAAGCCUGAUGCAGCCAUGCCGCGUGUAUGAAGAAGGCCUUCGGGUUGUAAAGUACUUUCAGCGGGGAGGAAGGUGUUGUGGUUAAUAACCGCAGCAAUUGACGUUACCCGCAGAAGAAGCACCGGCUAACUCCGUGCCAGCAGCCGCGGUAAUACGGAGGGUGCAAGCGUUAAUCGGAAUUACUGGGCGUAAAGCGCACGCAGGCGGUCUGUCAAGUCGGAUGUGAAAUCCCCGGGCUCAACCUGGGAACUGCAUUCGAAACUGGCAGGCUAGAGUCUUUGUAGAGGGGGGUAGAAUUCCAGGUGUAGCGGUGAAAUGCGUAGAGAUCUGGAGGAAUACCGGUGGCGAAGGCGGCCCCCUGGACAAAGACUGACGCUCAGGUGCGAAAGCGUGGGGAG